rnacentral:rRNA from 1 species
GACGAACGCUGGCGGCGUGCUUAACACAUGCAAGUCGAACGGAAAGGCCCUGCUUUUGUGGGGUGCUCGAGUGGCGAACGGGUGAGUAACACGUGAGUAGCCUGCCCUUGACUUUGGGAUAACUUCAGGAAACUGGGGCUAAUACCGGAUAGGAGCUCCUGCUGCAUGGUGGGGGUUGGAAAGUUUCGGCGGGUGGGGAUGGACUCGCGGCUUAUCAGCUUGUUGGUGGGGUAGGGGCUUACCAAGGCUUUGACGGGUAGCCGGCCUGAGGGGGUGACCGGCCACAUUGGGACUGAGAUACGGCCCGGACUCCUAGGGGGGGCAGCAGUGGGGAAUAUGGCACAAUGGGCGGAGGCCUGAUGCAGCAACGCCGCGGGCGGGAUGACGGCCUUCGGGUUGUAAACCGCUUUCGCCUGUGACGAAGCGUGAGUGACGGUAAUGGGUAAAGAAGCACCGGCUAACUACGUG